UCCAUAUAUAGUCGGCCUCAGAGACCCCUUUAACUGCCCUGACCCAAAACCAUAAGUAUAUAUCGGCCUCAGAACUGCUAGCAAACUCAGCCUCAUCAGCUGAUCCACCGCCAUAUGCAAAGAGCCUGAGUUGAAAGGUAUCCAGCCCCAUAACUGCUAGGAAUCUCAGUGCUCCAUCAGCUGAUCUACUGCCUUAAGCAGAGCCUGAGUUCAUAUAUAUCAGGCCUCAGAGACCCCUUUAACCGAUCUAUUGCCCUGACCCAAAACCAUAAGUAUAUAUAUCCGGCCUCAAAACUGCUAGCAAACUCAGCC